rfam:Tropheryma whipplei str. Twist, complete genome.
GGAGGGCUGUCCGAGCGGCCUAAGGAGCCGGUCUUGAAAACCGGUGAGCAGAGAUGCUCCGUGGGUUCAAAUCCCACGCCCUCCG